rnacentral:rRNA from 1 species
CACGUAGGUGACCAGCGUUGUCCGGAUUUACUGGGCGUAAAGAGCGCGCAGGCGGUCGUUCAAGUCGAGUGUGAAAGCCCCCGGCUCAACUGGGGAGGGUCACUCGAUACUGAUCGACUUGAAGGCAGGAGAGGGAAGCGGAAUUCCCGGUGUAGUGGUGAAAUGCGUAGAUAUCGGGAGGAACACCAGUGGCGAAGGCGGCUUCCUGGCCUGUUCUUGACGCUGAGGCGCGAAAGCUAGGGGAGCAAACGGG